UUGAAAUAAAAGGAAAGAUGAAGAGC
rnacentral:piRNA from 1 species